rnacentral:rRNA from 1 species
GAUGAACGCUGGCGGCGUGCCUAAUACAUGCAAGUCGAGCGGUAAGGCUCUGCACAGGUUGUUUGAUCAAGAAUUUAGUUUCUUUAAUGUCUCUUCUAGGCUAGAAGAGAUCAGGUAUCGAACAAUGUGUGUAGAGUACACGAGCGGCGGACGGCUGAGUAACGCGUAGGAACAUACCCCAAAGUGAGGGAUAACUGCCCGAAAGGGUAGCUAAUACCGCAUGUGGUCUUCGGAUUAAAGCUUUAUGCGCUUUGGGAAUGGCCUGCGUCUGAUUAGUUUGUUGGUGAGGUAAUGGCUCACCAAGACUACGAUCGGUAGCUGGUCUGAGAGGAUGAUCAGCCAGACUGGGAACUGAGACACGGUCCAGACUCCUACGGGAGGCAGCAGUAGGGAAUUUUCCACAAUGGACGAAAGUCUGAUGGAGCAACGCCGCGUGCAGGAUGAAGGCCCUUGGGUCGUAAACUGCUUUAUGUGCGAAGAUU